AACGAACGUUGGCGGCGUGGAUUAGGCAUGCAAGUCGAACGAAUCCCAGCUUUGUAGCAAUACCGAGCUGGGGGAAGUGGCGGAAGGGGCAGUAAUGCGUGGGUAAUCUACCUCGGGGACGUGGAUAGCCAUCCUAACGGGUGGGUAAUACGCGGCGAUUUGGUCGAGGGGCAUCCCUUGGCCAGGAAAUGAAUUUCGCCUCGAGAGGAACUCACGUGAUAUUAGCUUGUUGGCGGGGUAACGGCCCACCAAGGCAAAGAUGUCUAGCGGGUGUGAGAGCACGACCCGCGCCACUGGCACUGAGACACUGGCCAGACACCUACGGGUGGCUGCAGUCGAGGAUCUUCGGCAAUGGGCGCAAGCCUGACCGAGCGACGCCGCGUGUGCGAUGAAGGCC
rnacentral:rRNA from 1 species